rnacentral:rRNA from 1 species
UGUUCAUAACCCUUUGUUGUCCGACUCUGUUGCCUCCGGGGCGACCCUGNCUUCGGGCGGGGGCUCCGGGUGGACACUUCAAACUCUUGCGUAACUUUGCAGUCUGAGUAAAUUUAAUUAAUAAAUUAAAACUUUUAACAACGGAUCUCUUGGUUCUGGCAUCGAUGAAGAACGCAGCGAAAUGCGAUAAGUAAUGUGAAUUGCAGAAUUCAGUGAAUCAUCGAAUCUUUGAACGCACAUUGCGCCCCCUGGUAUUCCGGGGGGCAUGCCUGUUCGAGCGUCAUUUCACCACUCAAGCCUCGCUUGGUAUUGGGCAACGCGGUCCGCCGCGUGCCUCAAAUCGACCGGCUGGGUCUUCUGUCCCCUAAGCGUUGUGGAAACUACUCGCUAAAGGGUGCUCGGGAGGCUACGCCGUAAAACAAACCCAUUUCUAAGGUUGACCUCGGAUCAGGUAGGGAUACCCGCUGAACUUAAGCAUAUCAAUAAGCGGAGGA